rnacentral:rRNA from 1 species
GCUUUUGGAGGGGGGUGCGUCCUAUCAGGUAGUUGGUGUGGUAAUAGCUCACCAAGCCUAUGACGGGUAGCCGGUCUGAGAGGAUGUCCGGCCGCAAUGGAACUGAGACACGGUCCAUACUCCUACGGGAGGCAGCAGUGGGGAAUCUUGCGCAAUGGGCGAAAGCCUGACGCAGCAAUCCCGCGUGAAGGAUGAAGCAUUAUGGUGUGUGAACUUCUUUUCUGGUGGAAGACGAAUGACGGUACACCAGGAAUCCGGGACGGCUAACUACGUGCCAGCAGCCGCGGUAAUACGUAGGUCCCAAGUGUUAUCCGGAAUUACUGGGCGUCAAGAGUCCUGUAGCCGGGUUUGUAAGUCUGUAUUCAAAUCCUAUGGCUUAACCAUAGAGAGGGACUGGAUACUGCAAACCUUGAGAUUAUUGGGGGUAGAUGGAAUUUCCGGUGGAGCGGUGAAAUGCGUAGAUAUCGGAAGGAACGCCAAAAGUGAAAAGCAGUCAAAUACCAUAAAUCUGACGGUCAGAGACGAAAGCUUGGGGAGCAAACGGGAUAAGAUACCCCGGUAGUCCAAAGCCGUAAAUUAUGCAUGCUAGGUGUCUUGUUCACUUUAUGUGAGCGGGGUGCCGUAAUCUAACGAGUUAAGCAUUGCCGCCUGGGUAGUAUAUUCGCAAGAAUGAAACUCAAAGGGAUAGGCGGGGGAACACACAAGCAGUGGAUUGUCUCGAUUAAUUGGAUAAUAAGCCAAGAAUCUUACCUAGACUUGACAUAUAUUGUGUCCUACGUGAAAGUGUAGUAAUCCCGAUUUUGUCGGGAUACGAUAUACAGGUGGUGCAUGGUCGUCGUCAGCUCGUGCCGCAAGAUGUCCAGUUAAGUCUGGGAACGAGCGCAACCCU